rnacentral:rRNA from 1 species
UACGGGAGGGGCAAGCGUUAUUCGGCUUGACUGGGCGUAAAGGGUUCGUAGACUGUAAAAUAAGUUACUUGUUAAACUUUAAAGCUUAACUUUAAAUCAGCUUGUAAUACUGUUUUACUUGAGUUUUAUACAGAAGAGUAGAAUUUUAUACGUAAGGGUAAAAUCUAAAGAUAUAUAAAGGGAUGCCAGUAGCGAAGGCGACUCUUUGGUAAAAACUGACGUUGAGGAACGAAAGUAUGGGGAGCAAACAGG